rnacentral:sRNA from 1 species
UAGAGACUGGUCUCAGUGGGGUCACCCUGG